GUGAAUCAGGGUUCGAUUUCUUUUGGGUUUUUCUUUUUGGGUAGGAGGGUUUGGUUGAGAUGGGAAGUGCUGGUGAGACCAGUAACAAGGGCAUUGACCCGUCGGUAGGCGGGUUGGUUUGGGUCCGCCGUAGAAACGGGUCAUGGUGGCCUAGUAGGAUAAUGGGUCUCGAUGAGUUGUCUAAGAGUUGCUUAGUUUCGCCGAGAUCGGGUACCCCUGUAAAGCUUCUGGGUCGCGAGGACGCAAGCGUGUCUCUGCAGCACUUGAUGCUCUUAUUGACAUUAGUGGUGGAAAAGUUAACAUCCAUGUAUUAAUGGCUCUAGCAGCAUUUGCUUCAGUAUUUAUGGGGAAUGCCUUAGAAGGAGGGUUACUUCUUUCCAUGUUUAAUUUGGCUCAUAUAGCUGAAGAGUACUUCACCAGCUGUUCAAUGAUUGAUGUUAAAGAGUUGAAGGAAAAUCAUCCCGAAUCUGCUCUUGUGCUGGAUAUGAAUGAAGAUAGACUUCCUAACACAACCGAUUUGGCAUACAAAAGGGUUCUUGUACAUAAUAUAGAAGUGGGAUCCUGUGUUUUGGUUGGAGCUGGUGAGGUAUGUGAUGCUAAUUUUAUUCAUUUCAGUUUUGUUUGUUGGAAUAGUAAGCUAGAAUGUUCAAAUUCUGAGGUGAAAGGAGUAUAAUAUAGAAUUGAUUGUUGUUUUCUUAGGAUUUAUAUUCUCUGAACCUAGUGAAAGUCUAGUUGUUGAUCAAUUAACUUUAAAUGCAUGUUAUGUUCUAAAACUUUUCACAUUAAUGUGAGUUCUUGACUUGCACUACUCUGUCUCUUAACACUAAAAAAUCUAUCCAUGUGCCUGGACUAUCAUGUGGAUGGCUUUUUGCUGCUUGAAUGAUGGUCUGAAAAUAAUUUCAAGGCUGAAAAUGUUGCCAAUGUGAUGGACUAUCAAAUGAAUGGGUUUAUCUAUCUUUAAGAAUUAUGGUGUGAAAACAUUAAUCCUCUGUUGUAAUAGAUGUCAAGUGGUUACUCAUCAAUAUUGUGAUUUUUGGAUGAUGUUAUUGAAAAAGAAAGAAAAAUACACAAACACACAUACGUAUAUAAAUAUAUAUAUAUACAUAUUUGUAGCUUUCUGAAUUCAUUUAGCGAUGAUCUAGCUCUGUCUAUGUUCUUUUCAUUUCACUUAAUUUAAUCAUUUCUUUUAGUUUGCCA